rnacentral:rRNA from 1 species
GACGGAGGAUGCAAGCGUUAUCCGGAAUGAUUGGGCGUAAAGCGUCCGCAGGUGGCAGUUCAAGUCUGCUGUCAAAGACCGGGGCUUAACUUCGGAAAGGCAGUGGAAACUGAACAGCUAGAGUAUGGUAGGGGCAGAGGGAAUUCCUGGUGUAGCGGUGAAAUGCGUAGAGAUCAGGAAGAACAUCGGUGGCGAAGGCGCUCUGCUGGACCAUAACUGACACUCAGGGACGAAAAGCUAGGGGAGCGAA